UUCCUAUGCAUAUACUUCUUUGA
rnacentral:miRNA from 1 species